UACGUAGGGUCCGAGCGUUGUCCGGAAUUAUUGGGCGUAAAGGGCUCGUAGGCGGUCUGUUGCGUCGGCUGUGAAAACCCGGGGCUCAACCCCGGGCCUGCAGCCGAUACGGGCAGGCUAGAGUCCGGUAGGGGACCACGGAAUUCCCGGUGUAGUGGUGAAAUGCGUAGAUAUCGGGAGGAACACCAGUGGCGAAGGCGACUACCUGGCCUGUUCUUGACGCUGAGGUGCGAAAGCGUGGGGAGCAAACAGG
rnacentral:rRNA from 1 species